GCAUUGGUGGUAUAGUGGUGGGUAUAGUGGUGAGCAUAGCUGCCUUCCAAGCAGUUGACCUGGGUUUGAUUCCCAGCCAAUGCA